UCUCAAUAUAGAAUCUUAGAAUUCUAGAGUUGGAAGAUCCAUCCAGCCCAACCACCGUGUAGGAACAUACAAUCCAAGUCCUGACAGAUAGCCAUCCAAACUCUACUUUAAAACCUCCAGAGAAUGAUACUGUUAGGGCUCAGCAAGGGACAGGGGAUUUCUCAGAGGGUGAGGAGAUGACGGGUUUCAACCUGAACAAACGGAGGAGUCCUCGUAUGAUCAGGGAGAAUUGCAGGCAGUUGAAGAUGAGACAGAGAAUGUUUUGGAUUCUGAUGUUCGUCCCUUAGCAACAGAGGAAAGGGAAACUGGUGAAAGAUCUAUUUCUCUUGGGAAUCAGCCUUCAGCUGAUGGGGAGUUUUCCCCCAAUUUCAGAUUAGGUCUCAGGACGGAGGGAGUGAAAGAUAGAUUAAAUAGGCAUUCAAAGAGACUCAUGGAGAAGUCCUUGAAACCCAGAGGAGACAAUGUUGCCUAAAGGUCCAGGUUCCUGUCUAAGCCCUCAAGUUCAUGAUUCAAGUUUCCUGAGUUUGCCUAUGUUCCUGGAAGAGUUUGCCUUGGGAAAAAAAUUCCUGUUUUCAUGCUCAUGGAUUUAUGCUCAUGAUUUUGACUCUCUUGAUUUCGUGUAUUUUGCCAUUUUUGGACUAUUGCUCUUUUGUAUAUAGACUGCUGCUAUUUUAUAGUUCCUUUUCUACUGCUUUUUUGGGAAAUCCCUUUUACUCAUUUGUACAUGUUUUUCUUAAUAAAUGGAUGUAGUUAGUA